rnacentral:rRNA from 1 species
GACGAACGCUGGCGGCGUGCUUAACACAUGCAAGUCGAACGGAAAGGCCCUGCUUGCAGGGUACUCGAGUGGCGAACGGGUGAGUAACACGUGGGUGAUCUGCCCUGCACUUCGGGAUAAGCUUGGGAAACUGGGUCUAAUACCGGAUAGGAGCCAUCUUUAGUGUGGUGGUUGGAAAGUUUUUUCGGUGUAGGAUGAGCUCGCGGCCUAUCAGCUUGUUGGUGGGGUAAUGGCCUACCAAGGCGGCGACGGGUAGCCGGCCUGAGAGGGUGUACGGCCACAUUGGGACGGAGAUACGGCCCAGACUCCUAUGGGAGGCAGCAGUGGGGAAUAUUGCACAAUGGGCGCAAGCCUGAUGCAGCGACGCCGCGUGGGGGAUGAAGGCCUUCGGGUUGUAAACUCCUUUCGCUAGGGACGAAGCUUUUUUGUGACGGUACCUAGAGAAGAAGCACCGGCUAACUACGUG